rnacentral:lncRNA from 1 species
GAUUUAGGAGUUGACAACUACGAGAGUAGGCUCAUACCUGAUAGUAAUUCUGCUGAGCUAAGUUAUUAGGCGCAUGCGAGAACUAGUCUAGAAACCUAGUGAAGUUAUCGAUCCGAUCAUUAAUGCUUGUUGGAAGAGCAUCGAUCGACACCCUAUAGGUGCAUCGAUCCAUACCUGUUCUAUGUAACACACGAGGGUGUGGACAUAGAAUUCCAACACGUAGACUCGCAGCGAGAGAUGGACAAUCUUAUAUUAAUAUUUGAGUUCUAGGAUUGAUUAUCACAUGCACUUAGCAACUAUAUCAUAAUUUGGAUUAUCUAACCUGAGAGUCUAGCUUCUAUUUUAUCUGUGCAAACACAUUCCAUCUAUCCUAUUUACUACUUAUUUAAUAUUUACUGUCUUAACAUUUAU